AAGUCGUAACAAGGUUUCCGUAGGUGAACCUGCGGAAGGAUCAUUACAGAGUUCGUGCCCUCCGGGGUAGAUCUCCCACCCUUGAUAUCUCUUCUCUUGUUGCUUUGGCGGGACGCCUCCGGCCACGGGCUUCGGCCUGUGAGUGCCCGCCAGAGACCCAACCCAACCCUGUUUAUGUGUCGUCUGAGUACUAUAUAAUAGUUAAAACUUUCAACAACGGAUCUCUUGGUUCUG
rnacentral:misc_RNA from 1 species